GCCCCCUACCGGACAGGCGGCGGGAAAACGCCGCGCAACUCAGACCACUGGAGCGGAGUAGUAUCUGGAGUUUCUGUAACAUCCUUUCCCUUUUUUUUUUUUUUUAAAGCCAGAGCCUCUGUCGCCCAGGCUGCAGUACAGUGGCGUAAUCUCAGCUCACUGCAACCUCUGCCUCCCGGGAUCAAGCGAUUCUCCUUCCUCAGCCUCCCGAGUAGCUGGGAUUACAGGUGCCCGUCGGCUAAUUUUUGGUUUUUUGUUUUGUUUUGUUUUGUUUUUUUUGUUUUUGUUUUUGUUUUGAAACGGAGUCUCUGUCGCCCAGGCUGGAGUGCAACGGCGUGAUCUCGGCUCACUGCAACCUCCGCCUCCCGGGUUCAAGCGAUUCUUCUGUCUCGGCCUCCCAAGUAGCUGGGAUUACAGGCGUCCACCACCAGGCGCAGCUAAUUUUUUGUAUUUUUAGUAGACACGAGGUUUUGCCAUGUUGGCCAGGCUGGUUUCGAACUCCUGGCCUCAAGUGAUCCGCCUGCCUCGGCCUCCCAAAGUGCUGGGAUUACAGGCGACACCCUUUGCUUUUUUUUUUUUUUUUUUUUUGAGGCGGAGUAUCACUCUGUUGCCCAGGCUGGAGUGCAAUGGCGUGAUCUCGGCUCACUGCAACCUCUGCCUCCCAGGUUCAAGAGAUUCUUCUGCCUCAGCCUCCCAAGUAGCUGGCACUGCAGACACGCACCACCACACCCAGGAUGGUGCUAGCAUAUAUAAGACUGAAACACCAAAGUCCUCCGUGGAAGUUAAUGAAUUUCUAGGCAGCUGUGGUAGACCCCAAAUGCACAGGGCAUAUGGCUCACCUCACCACCCCAGAUGGUGCUACUGGCCCAGCCUUCCCAGCGUCCACCCUGGCAGUCUUUCCUCAUUCCCUUGGCCCUCACCCUGUCUCCUCAGCCUUCCAGCUGCACUGCUAUUGUAGGCUGCUCUUUCUCGACAAUCUCCUCUUAUUUUCUGUGAUGUCUCAGGAUGUUUCUUCUUCUCAGGGGUUUUCCAAGCUUCUUCCACACUCAGGUGCUCAGACGUUUUUAUGGUCUGGCUUCUGAAGGAGAUCAAAAUUCAUAUGGACAGGCAUUUGUGUAUUAGCCAAGAGUUGCUAAUGCAUUUCUUGAUCAUAAGUCUCAGAGAAAUGGGAUGAAAGAUCUUAGAUUUUUAUACACUCUGCUUCAAUGAUUUCUCAGCUUUUCUGAUCUGAAAAGAAUAAAGGACACCUUUUAGCUAAGCACUUUCUGUUUUAUUUCUUAUAAUGCCAUGUAGUGGCUGUUACUGCCAACACAGCAGUCAUUUAAUAAACCCUGAAUGUCUGUAGCAUUUCUUCUCAUUCGUUUCAGUGAGUGCUGUUCUUUUCUGUGUUUAUUUUUAAUUUUUUUUUUCCAUGCAGUAUUUCUUGCACCCUCUUAUUACUCCUCAGCCUUUGGAUUCUAGAUCAGUGGUUCUCAAACUGCCUGCAUCAGAACACCUGAAGGGCUUGUACAACACAGAUUGCUGGAUCUCAUUCCCAGAGUUUAUUAAUUGUUAGGUCCAGGUGGGCCAGGGAAUUUGCAUUUCUA
rnacentral:lncRNA from 10 species